rnacentral:tRNA from 1 species
GGGAGUUUGGUCUAGUGGUAUGAUUCUCGCUUCGGGUGUGAGAGGCCUCGAGUUCGUUUCUCGCAACACCCCU